rnacentral:lncRNA from 1 species
CUCUUAUUUAAUCUUAAAGCGUCUCACAUCAUCCUACUUUACUCCAAAUCAUCGCCUCUAUGUCAAUGUCAUAACAGAAAACUUUCCCCCUAUUUUAAGAUCCUAUUAAAACCUGCUAGAGAUAACCUAUUAUUUCCCUCCACCCACAAUUAAAUCAGGUGCCGGCUCUGAGCUUGGCAGCCAGCGAGCUGCUGGGUCCGUGGAGCAGCGCCAGGCAGAGGGGCCGGCAGGAUUUCCCGAGGGGGCAUCAGUUGCAGAGCUUCUAGAAAGGUGAGGCUGAGUGAGGUUGAGGAGCUGUCUUGGAAUUCAAGAGGUUUACACAGCACUGCUGACCGCAAGUGGACCCUGCCUGGCUCUUUCUUCCAGAGAGGCAAUCUGGAAGAAGCCAAGACCUUCAAGAUGGGAAACAAUGUAACCAAACUACAGUACUCUGAAAUGGUGAUGAGCUCCAGUGCCUGGACCUGAAUCCCAGCUCUGCUGCUUCUUAGGUUUUUUCUUAUUGUUCAGUUGCUAAGUCAUGUCUGACUCGGUGAUCCCAUGGACUGUAUCCUGCCAGGCUUCUCUGUCCAUGGAAUCCUCCAGUCCUUCAGGUUGACAGGACCACAGCCCAGGCCACAGUCUAUGGGUGAUACCCCUGUGUCCUUGUCACACUUGGCACUGGUGUCACUAAACAGAAGGACUGAUGCUGAGGCUGAAGCUGCAGUACCUUGGCCACCUGAUGAGAAGAACUGA